rnacentral:rRNA from 1 species
UACGUAGGGGGCAAGCGUUGUCCGGAAUUAUUGGGCGUAAAGCGCGCGCAGGCGGCUUGUUAAGUCUGGUGUUUAAGCCCGGGGCUCAACCCCGGAUCGCAUCGGAAACUGGGAGGCUGGAGUGCAGAAGAGGAAAGCGGAAUUCCACGUGUAGCGGUGAAAUGCGUAGAGAUGUGGAGGAACACCAGUGGCGAAGGCGGCUUUCUGGUCUGUAACUGACGCUGAGGCGCGAAAGCGUGGGGAGCAAACAGG